CCUACGGGUGGCAGCAGUGAGGAAUAUUGGUCAAUGGACGAGUGUCUGAACCAGCAAAGUAGCGUGAAGGAUGACGGCCCUAUGGGUUGUAAACUUCUUUUAUAUGGGAAUAAAAUGUUCCACGUGUGGGAUUUUGUAUGUACCAUAUGAAUACGGAUCGGCUAACUCCGUGCCAGUAGCCGCGGUAAUACGGAGGAUCCGAGCGUUAUCCGGAUUUAUUGGGUUUAAAGGGAGCGUAGGUGGAUUGUUAAGUCAGUUGUGAAAGUUGGCGGCUCAACCGUAAAAUUGCAGUUGAAACUGGCAGUCUUGAGUACAGUAGAGGUGGGCGGAAUUCGUGGUGUAGCGGUGAAAUGCUUAGAUAUCACGAAGAACUCCGAUUGCGAAGGCAGUUCACUGGACCGCAACUGACACUGAGGCUCGAAAGUGUGGGGAUCAAACAGGAUUAGAUACCCCAGUAGUC
rnacentral:rRNA from 1 species